rnacentral:rRNA from 1 species
CCUACGGGGGGCAGCAGUGGGGAAUAUUGGACAAUGGGCGAAAGCCUGAUCCAGCCAUGCCGCGUGUGUGAAGAAGGCCUUCGGGUUGUAAAGCACUUUCAGUGGGGAAGAAAGCCUUGGGGCUAAUACCCUCGAGGAAGGACAUCACCCACAGAAGAAGCACCGGCUAACUCCGUGCCAGCAGCCGCGGUAAUACGGAGGGGGCGAGCGUUAAUCGGAAUUACUGGGCGUAAAGCGCGCGUAGGCGGUCUGAUAAGCCGGUUGUGAAAGCCCCGGGCUCAACCUGGGAACGGCAUCCGGAACUGUCAGGCUAGAGUGCAGGAGAGGAAGGUAGAAUUCCCGGUGUAGCGGUGAAAUGCGUAGAGAUCGGGAGGAAUACCAGUGGCGAAGGCGGCCUUCUGGACUGACACUGACGCUGAGGUGCGAAAGCGUGGGUAGCAAACAGGAUUAGAUACCCCAGUAGUC